AUCCUGGCUCAGGACGAACGCUGGCGGCGUGCCUAAUACAUGCAAGUCGAGCGGACAGAAGGGAGCUUGCUCCCGGAUGUUAGCGGCGGACGGGUGAGUAACACGUGGGUAACCUGCCUGUAAGACUGGGAUAACUCCGGGAAACCGGAGCUAAUACCGGAUAGUUCCUUGAACCGCAUGGUUCAAGGAUGAAAGACGGUUUCGGCUGUCACUUACAGAUGGACCCGCGGCGCAUUAGCUAGUUGGUGAGGUAACGGCUCACCAAGGCGACGAUGCGUAGCCGACCUGAGAGGGUGAUCGGCCACACUGGGACUGAGACACGGCCCAGACUCCUACGGGAGGCAGCAGUAGGGAAUCUUCCGCAAUGGACGAAAGUCUGACGGAGCAACGCCGCGUGAGUGAUGAAGGUUUUCGGAUCGUAAAGCUCUGUUGUUAGGGAAGAACAAGUGCAAGAGUAACUGCUUGCACCUUGACGGUACCUAACCAGAAAGCCACGGCUAACUACGUGCCAGCAGCCGCGGUAAUACGUAGGUGGCAAGCGUUGUCCGGAAUUAUUGGGCGUAAAGGGCUCGCAGGCGGUUUCUUAAGUCUGAUGUGAAAGCCCCCGGCUCAACCGGGGAGGGUCAUUGGAAACUGGGAAACUUGAGUGCAGAAGAGGAGAGUGGAAUUCCACGUGUAGCGGUGAAAUGCGUAGAGAUGUGGAGGAACACCAGUGGCGAAGGCGACUCUCUGGUCUGUAACUGACGCUGAGGAGCGAAAGCGUGGGGAGCGAACAGGAUUAGAUACCCUGGUAGUCCACGCCGUAAACGAUGAGUGCUAAGUGUUAGGGGGUUUCCGCCCCUUAGUGCUGCAGCUAACGCAUUAAGCACUCCGCCUGGGGAGUACGGUCGCAAGACUGAAACUCAAAGGAAUUGACGGGGGCCCGCACAAGCGGUGGAGCAUGUGGUUUAAUUCGAAGCAACGCGAAGAACCUUACCAGGUCUUGACAUCCUCUGACAACCCUAGAGAUAGGGCUUUCCCUUCGGGGACAGAGUGACAGGUGGUGCAUGGUUGUCGUCAGCUCGUGUCGUGAGAUGUUGGGUUAAGUCCCGCAACGAGCGCAACCCUUGAUCUUAGUUGCCAGCAUUCAGUUGGGCACUCUAAGGUGACUGCCGGUGACAAACCGGAGGAAGGUGGGGAUGACGUCAAAUCAUCAUGCCCCUUAUGACCUGGGCUACACACGUGCUACAAUGGACAGAACAAAGGGCUGCGAGACCGCAAGGUUUAGCCAAUCCCACAAAUCUGUUCUCAGUUCGGAUCGCAGUCUGCAACUCGACUGCGUGAAGCUGGAAUCGCUAGUAAUCGCGGAUCAGCAUGCCGCGGUGA
rnacentral:rRNA from 1 species